rnacentral:rRNA from 1 species
UACGUAGGCAGCAAGCGUUGUUCGGAGUUACUGGGCGUAAAGAGUGCGUAGGCGGUUUCGUAAGUUUGGUGUGAAAUCUCCCGGCUUAACUGGGAGGGUGCGCCGAAAACUGCGGGGCUGGAGUAUGGGAGAGGCAAGCGGAAUUCCUGGUGUAGCGGUGAAAUGCGUAGAUAUCUGGAGGAACACCGGUGGCGAAGGCGGUAUCCUGGACCAACACUGACACUGAGGAGCGAAAGCCAGGGGAGCAAACGGG